rnacentral:rRNA from 1 species
GAUGAACGCUGGCGGCGUGCCUAACACAUGCAAGUCGAGCGAUUCUCUUCGGAGAAGAGCGGCGGACGGGUGAGUAACGCGUGGGUAACCUGCCCUGUACACACGGAUAACAUACCGAAAGGUAUGCUAAUACGAGAUAAUAUGCUUUUAUCGCAUGGUAGAAGUAUCAAAGCUUUUGCGGUACAGGAUGGACCCGCGUCUGAUCAGCUAGUUGGUAAGGUAACGGCUUACCAAGGCGACGAUCAGUAGCCGACCUGAGAGGGUGAUCGGCCACAUUGGAACUGAGACACGGUCCAAACUCCUACGGGAGGCAGCAGUGGGGAAUAUUGCACAAUGGGCGAAAGCCUGAUGCAGCAACGCCGCGUGAGCGAUGAAGGCCUUCGGGUCGUAAGCUCUGUCCUCAAGGAAGAUAAUGACGGUACUUGAGGAGGAAGCCCCGGCGUAACUACGUGCCAGCAGCCGCGGUAA